AUGAACGCUGGCGGCGUGCCUAAUACAUGCAAGUCGAGCGAACGGACGAGAAGCUUGCUUCUCUGAUGUUAGCGGCGGACGGGUGAGUAACACGUGGAUAACCUACCUAUAAGUCUGGGAUAACUUCGGGAAACCGGAGCUAAUACCGGAUAAUAUUUUGAACCGCAUGGUUCAAAAGUGAAAGACGGUCUUGCUGUCACUUAUAGAUGGAUCCGCGCUGCAUUAGCUAGUUGGUAGGGUAACGGCUUACCAAGGCAACGAUGCAUAGCCGACCUGAGAGGGUGAUCGGCCACACUGGAACUGAGACACGGUCCAGACUCCUACGGGAGGCAGCAGUAGGGAAUCUUCCGCAAUGGGCGAAAGCCUGACGGAGCAACGCCGCGUGAGUGAUGAAGGUCUUCGGAUCGUAAAACUCUGUUAUUAGGGAAGAACAUAUGUGUAAGUAACUGUGCACAUCUUGACGGUACCUAAUCAGAAAGCCACGGCUAACUACGUG
rnacentral:rRNA from 1 species